UGGGGGGGGGGGGGACGCGACACAGCUCAAGCCCGCCAGUGCCCCAUCGGGGCCCUAGUUAGGGCCCGAGCCAGCUGCAGAGCAGCCGGGCGUAGAGCCCUAUUAUUCCUGUAUGGGUUCUUCUUUCUUCUUUCUUUCUUUCUUUCUUUAGGGCCCGAGCCAGCUGCAGAGCAGCCGGGCGUAGAGCCCUAUUAUUCCUCUAGUGGUUUUUCUUUGUUUCUUUCUUUCUUUAGGGCCCGAGCGUAGCUGCUAAGCAGCUGCGAGAGCCCUAUUAUUCCCCAAGUGGUUUUUCUUUGUUUCUUUCUUUCUUUCUUCUUUUUCCUCCCCUUUGAACUGGAAAAUGGCCCACUUCCCACUGGCGAAAAAUUUGGCAGGACGACCGGGCCUGGUGAAAAAUUCGAUAUUCUGAAGUCGCCCAAACAAUAAAAUGCAAAAUGGCUCCAUAGCGCCCCCUAAGGUGGAAAUUCACACUAUUGACUGUCACGCCUGUACGCUUUGUCAUAUUGACACAAAAAUUGACACACAUAUGUAUCUCAAUAAGAUCUACAAAAAAGUCAGUGCGGCCGUAUCUGUCAAAAUUACGGUUAAAGGGUUAUUUCGCAUUUUUUGCCGAUCCGCACACAUUGGAAUUUCGCUAACUCCUCCGAAGGCUUUCGUUCCACCGGCACCACAUUUGCUCAGGCCAAUCUACACCCCGUGGCCAUUAAAAGUUAUCAAAAUCAUGACGCUGCACCCCAAGGUUUAGGUUCUAGGGGGCGCCAAAGAUAACACUAAAAUCCACAUAUUUAAAAGUCUUAUAACUUUUUAUUUUUGUCCUCACUGGCCUCCAAGUUUUCUAGGAUGAUGCAAUGUCCAGCCAUCAACACAUUUGUGAAGGAAUUUUUACUCCCCAAAAGAGCGCCCCCCCAUGGCAGGAGAAAAAAGUCCAUUUUUUCUUGUCCCCUAAGGUGAAAAUACACACUGUUGAGUGUCACGCCUAUACGCUUUGUCAAAAUGACACAAAAAUUGACACACACAUGUAACUCAAUAAGAUCUACGAAAAAGUCAAUGCGCGCGUAUCUGUCAAAUGUACGGUUAAAGGGUUAUUCCGCAUUUUUUGCCGAUCCGCACACAUUGGAAUGUGGCUAACUCCUCCUAAGGCUUUCGUCCCACUGAAACCAAAUUUGCUCAGGCCAAUCUACACCCCAUGGCCAUUCAAAGUUGUAAAAAUCAUGACGCUGCACCCCACGGUUUACGUUCUAGGGGGCGCCAAAGAUGACCAAAAAAUCCACAUUCUUAAAAGAAUCCACAUUCUCCCCCCCCAUGGCACGAGAAAAAGUCAAGUUUUUCCUGCCCAUCGCUCAAUGGCUCAAUCGCAUCGCUCUCCAGGCAACACCGUAAGGAGGAGUAACCUGCCAUUUGGAUAUAUCCCAGCUGUGUUUAUGCCCUCACUCAUGGUCCAGACUUUUUUCAAAUAGGACAUGAAGUUUGUCUGCAGCGAGUGUUUUGGUAGAAACUGCGCCUCCCAUUCAUUAUAAUGGGAAAUGACCACAGACAAGUGCGCACACCAUCUUUGGACCUUGAGUGUGACACGAUCGGGAGGGGGAGGCGGUCACGCUGGGGGCGGCACGACGUCGCUCGGGCCCGACAGUGCCCCACCGGGGCCCUAGUUAGGGCCCGAGCGUAGCUGCUAAGCAGCUGCGAGACUAUUAUUCCCCAAGUGGUUUUUCUUUGUUUCUUUCUUAGGGCCCGAGCGUAGCUGCUAAGCAGCUGCGAGAGCCCUAUUAUUCCCCAAGUGGUUUUUCUUUGUUUCUUUCUUUCUUUCUUCUUUUUCCUCCCCUUUGAACUGGAAAAUGGCCCACUUCCCACUGGCGAAAACUCAUGAAAUUUGGCAGGACGACCGGGCCUGGUGAAAAAUUCGAUAUUCUGAAGUCGCCCAAACAAUAAAAUGCAAAAUGGCUCCAUAGCGCCCCCUAAGGUGGAAAUUCACACUAUUGACUGUCACGCCUGUACGCUUUGUCAUAUUGACACAAAAAUUGACACACAUAUGUAUCUCAAUAAGAUCUACAAAAAAGUCAAUGCGCGCGUAUCUGUCAAAAUUACGGUUAAAGGGUUAUUUCGCAUUUUUUGCCGAUCCGCACACAUUGGAAUUUCGCUAACUCCUCCGAAGGCUUUCGUUCCACCGGCACCACAUUUGCUCAGGCCAAUCUACACCCCGUGGCCAGUAAAAGUUAUCAAAAUCAUGACGCUGCACCCCAAGGUUUAGGUUCUAGGGGGCGCCAAAGAUAACACUAAAAUCCACAUAUUUAAAAGUCUUAUAACUUUUUAUUUUUGUCCUCACUGGCCUCCAAGUUUUCUAGGAUGAUGCAAUGUCCAGCCAUCAACACAUUUGUGAAGGAAUUUUUACUCCCCAAAAGAGCGCCCCCCCAUGGCAGGAGAAAAAAGUCCAUUUUUUCUUGUCCCCUGAGGUGAAAAUACACAUUGUUGAGUGUCACGCCUAUACGCUUUGUCAAAAUGACACAAAAAUUGACACACACAUGUAACUCAAUAAGUUCUACGAAAAAGUCAUGCGCACGUAUCUGUAAAAUGUACGGUUAAAGGGUUAUUCCGCAUUUUUUGCCGAUCCGCACACAUUGGAAUAUGGCUAACUCCUCCUAAGGCUUUCGUUCCACUGGCACCACAUUUGCUCAGGACAAUCUACACCCCAUGGCCAUUAAAAGUUAUUCAAAUCAUGACGCUGCACCCCACGGUUUAGGUUCUAGGGGGCGCCAAAGAUAACCCUAAAAUCCACAUAUUUAAAAGUCUUAUAACUUUUUAUUUUUGUCCUCACUGGCCUCCAAGUUUUCUAGGAUGAUGCAAUGUCCAGCCAUCAACACAUUUGUGAAGGAAUUUUUACUCCCCAAAAGAGCGCCCCCCCAUGGCAGGAGAAAAAAGUCCAUUUUUUCUUGUCCCCUACGGUGAAAAUACAUAUUGUUGAGAUUCACGCCUAUACGCUUUGUCAUAUUGACACAAAAUUUGACAAUCACGUGCCUUGCCUGGUAUCAUUUUUUUCAGCACAACCUCACCUGUGCGAAUUUACAGUUAUUUUAUCAUGUUGACAUACUGAAUUUACACAAUGGACCCAAAUUCACACACAAAACAUAAAAUCCGAGUGGAAAAAAGUAACAUUUUUACUGUGAAAACCACAAAUAUGUGUGAUGAACUGUUUUUAAAACUUAAACUUCAAAUAAAAAUUGUAAACUUCAAAACAUAUGCAAAUUUUUAACAAAGAACAUAGUGAUUUACCUCUAUUUUCAUCAAAAUGCAGGCAAUGGCCCAGGCGUUCUUUGUAAAAUUAUUUACAAAACACUGUAUAGUCUCACAAAUGUCACUUUUUAUUUAUGCCACUGCAAAAAAACAUGAUGUAAAUGAUGCAUGAUGUAAAACAUGAUGUAAAAAACUUGUGUAGAUCCUCCUCUAUGUCAGUCCAUGUGUAAUUUUUCCAUAAUUCUUUGUUUUUUGCAGCAUUUUUGUUAGUGUAACUGCAGAUUGUGCUGACAGUGUCUAUGGCACAAAAAAAAAAAAAAAUUAAAAUGCCUCAACAUGAACCCCUGGUGGUCUCUGAGGGUGAAACCUGCUAACUGCUGCAGCUCUGUCAGCUUCAGUCUCCCAUGCAGAGCUCUGAGCGUAUGUGUGGCUCUGCACCCUUAGCAGCGUUGCUAACUCCUCAGUAAGGAAAGCCUGCUUCAUGUCAGAGUCUCUAAACUCCAGAAGAAGUCGAUAAAAGUCCCUUUCUUUCUAAAAAAAAGUCGUUAGGGGGUCUGAAAAGUCAUUGAAUCUAACAACAAAGUCGCUAGGUUUGCAACUACGUGUCCCAGACUGCAUCCCUGCUGAGAGUCCCUCCCUCCCUUCUCAUGUUGCAGGAAGACAGUAAGCACCCGCCCCUUGUCAAUCAGUCACCAUAUAAUUUUGGAUUGGUUGUUGUGGUGAAGUUUUCCACCAAUAGGAGAGAUGUUGUGGUGUGUUUUUUUUUUCUUUUGGCAAGCCUUUUCCGCCUGUAAGACCUGUCGCUAAUGUCUGCAUGCUAUGUUUUCCUGUCUCAUACAGCGCGAUUGAGCGCCGAACGUGAUCAAAAUAAGCAGAAAAAAAGUAUCGCGGACAUAAUUUAUCAUAACUCUGGUUUUAUUUGGCCUAUCAACACAAUUUAAAAACUGGUAUAUAGGUUGAGGUCCUCACUUUUGAGAUCAGUUGAAACGGAGAGUCAACGAGGCUCCGUCUUGCAGCUACAUCCGGUUAAAUAUGUCAUGUGACUUGAACGCACACACACACACGCACACACACACACACACACACACACACACACACACACACACACUCAGAGUCUGGUUUUUAGCACCUGCAAAAACAUGCUAUUUACAUAUUUGACAAGAAUGCAGAGGCUCCUUUUGCCCCUGAAAAAAAUCAAAUUUCAAACACAACUUGACUGGUCAUUUCUCCAAAAGACAACCAUGAAGCUCCAUCCAAACCUGAAGCAGGCAGUUGGUGCAUGUGUACAGUAACCUGAGGGGAGUGAGGUGAGUGCUUCUGAGGAGAACAUGAGCAGUGAAGAUUCACCUUGGAGCUAGAACAGAGACAUGCACAUGAUUAUACAGGGGCAGGGGCUCAAGUUUUUUCCAGUCGUUUAUACAAUAUGGAAAUUAAUGUGAAAUUAAAACACAAAGUAUUAAUAGAAAGGUAAUGACUGUCCUGUGUAGGUGACAGUGAUAUCCAAUAGGCUAGGCACUCACGAGGCUGGCUGUGGCAAGUGUAAGUGAAAGCAACACGCACUGGCAGGAAGAACAGCAAACGCCGAUGAAGGAAAAGGGUCUUUGCAGUGAUGGGCGUUACCAGAGAGGGCGAUGGCCAGAGGACACAAAUGGGACGGGGAGGCAGCACGUUGGGGGGGGGGG